rnacentral:rRNA from 1 species
AGUUAUAUGCUUGUCUCAAAGACUAAGCCAUGCACGUGUAAGUAUAAGCAAUAAAAAGUGAAACUGCGAAUGGCUCAUUAAAACAGCUAUAGUCUACUUAGAGGUGCCAAUAUGGAUAACCCUGGCAAUUCCAGGGCUAAUACAUGUUAUUCUCUGCAAAGAGUGACCUUGUUCUCAGAUCAACUCGGCUUUGCCGGUUCAGAUUCGAAUUAAAUAAGGUAGAAUAUCGUGAAUUUCACGAGGCACUAUUCGAGUUCCUGACCCAUCAGCCACCGACGCUAGGGUAUUGUCCUAUCGUCGCGUUAACGGGUAACGGGGAAUUAGGGUUUGAUUCCGGAGAGGGAGCCUGAGAGACGGCUACCACAUCCAAGGAAGGCAGCAGGCGCGUAAAUUACCCAAUCCUGACAUAGGGAGGUAGUGACAAGAAAUAAAAUUGAAGGAGCUAUGCUUCUUUAUUUGAAUGAGUUGAUUACAAAUCUAUCUACGAUCAACAAUUGGAGGGCAAGUCUGGUGCCAGCAGCCGCGGUAAUUCCAGCUCCAAUAGCGUAUACUAAAGUUGUUGCGGUUAAAACGCUCGUAGUCGGAUUUCCGCCAGGGAGGCAAUUGUGAUUUAUUGCAAAGCCCCCGAGGCCCCCGUUCAGGAAUCAGCGAGUGUGGCCCAGGCCACGCUGCUGCCUCAGAACUCGUUACCUUGAGUAAAUUAAAGUGUUCAAAGCAGACUAACGUCUGUAUACUAAAGCAUGGAAUAACAUUUACGACUCCCGUGCGUUGAGUUGGUCGUGCACAGGAGUAAUAUUAAAUAGGAACGACCGGGGGCAUCUGUAUCUGGAAGAUAGAGGUGAAAUUCUUAGACCUUCCAGCGACAAACUAAAGCGAAAGCAUUUGCCAAGGGCGUCUCCAUUGAUCAAGAACGAAAGUUAGGGGAUCGAAGACGAUCAGAUACCGUCGUAGUCCUAGCUGCAAACAAUGCCGACUGAGGAUCGGACGAGUAACUAGCUUCUCGUUCGGCACUCAAUGAGAAAUCAAAGUCUUUGGGUUCCGGGGGGAGUAUGGUCGCAAGGCUGGAACUUAAAGGAAUUGACGGAAGGGCACCACCAGGAGUGGAGCCUGCGGCUCAAUUCGACUCAACACGGGAAACCUCACCAGGGCAAGACAUAGCUAGGAUUGACAGAUUGAGAGUUCUUUCUUGAUUCUAUGAGUGGUGGUGCAUGGCCGUUCUUAGUUGGUGGAGCGAUUUGUCUGGUUAAUUCCGUUAACGAACGAGACCCCGAUCUGCUAAAUAGCUAGUGUGAAGUGAGGGAAGAUAACUGGCGUGCCUUGUGUGUGCUGGCCUCCCCUAAUAUAUUUGGCACUCAGCUUCUUAGAAAGACUACGUGUGUGAACGCGAGGAAGCUCGGGGUAAUAACAGGUCUGUGAUGCCCCUAGAUGCCCUGGGCUGCACGCGCGCUACAAUGGCGUGGAUAUCGAGUUGCUCCGUCGGAAGAUGAGGCAAACCAUGAAUCCACGCCGUGACUGGGAUAGACGUCUGAAAUUAUUCGUCUUGAACGAGGAAUUCCUAGUAAGCGCCAGUCAUCAGCUGGCGCUGAUUACGUCCCUGCCCUUUGUACACACCGCCCGUCGCUCCUACCGAUUGAAUGGUCCGGUGAGUUGGGGGGAGAAGCGCCUGUAUUGGCACUGUUAACCCACGCAAACCUUAUCAUUUAGAGGAAGGAGAAGUCGUAACAAGGUUUCCAGCAUAUAACUAAGCGGAGGAAAAGAAACCAACAGGGACGCCUUCAGUAACGGCGAGUGAAGAAGGUUCAGCCCUGCAGCGCUUCUGGGGACGCAAGUUCCCAACCAUAGGCGCUGUCAAGCCUAGACGAUUGAGCUUUCUCGCAGAUCUUUGGAAAAUGGCGAAACAAGGGGUGACAUCCCCGUCGGGAAGCAAGGUCGUCAACAGGCGAAAAACGGAGUAGCGUUUCCUUGAAGAGAAGCGCGAAUAGGUGUUAGGUACCAUCUGAGGCUAAGUAUAUAGUCGUGACCGAUAGCUCACAAGUACCGUGAGGGAAAGGUGAAAAGAACUUUGAAAAGAGGGUUAAAAUAACCUGAAAUCGCUCUGGUGGAAUCGAGGCAGUCCUGGUCGAGUCUGUACUUUGCCGAAACGCAAAAUAGUACAGCGCUCAGUUGACCGUCUGUCGUGGUGGAGUUCGCGUCGUGGUUUAACUCUAGGGUUUUCCACUGCUCGUGAUCUGCCACGGCAACGUACUUACCAGAAAUGGCGACGAUGUGUGUCUUACCAGGACUGUGUCAUCCCGUCUUGAAACACGGACCAAGGAGUCUAUCACAGGUGCAAGUGGCGAGGUGACCCCUCCACACGCAGUGAAAGCGAGUUGACUCCACCCUGUUGUUAGAAAUCGGCAGAGGCAGAGUAUUUGUGAUAGAACCCGAAAGGUGGUGAACUAUUCCUGGAUAGAAUGAGGCCAGGAGAAAUUCUGGUGGAAGUUCGAAGCGAUACUGACGU